AAUGCUUUUAUUGUUUAACUCAUUCGGUAAAUGUUGUUUGUCUUUAUUGAUAUGGCGACCUACGAUAAUGUCAUGAAGUGGGGGGAAUUCCUUGAUUAUGCUAAUACCGCCUAGAGAUAGGGGUAGGACGAUCAAUUGUAUUUUGCUUCCGUUUAUCAAGCCUUAUUGGUUACUGGGGGAGGCUGGAGAUAGCAAGCCAGUAAUUGGUAAUAGGCUCUUUUCGCCAAGAGAUUAGGUUUAGGGUAGACUAAAAAAGUUUGCAUGACAAUAUGAUAAAUAAGCUAAGUAGAUAAGAAGAUUAGAUAUAAGAGGGUGGAUAAGAUGAAAUUGUAAACCCCAACAACUCUAUUCAUCCAUAGUUUUUUCUAGCCAAUUGAUUCACGGCAUUUUGCAUGUUUACUUUUGUCUCUUGCAUUCAAAACCUAAAUUUAAUUCUUUUCUCAAGUCUUAUGCGAUUGGUUUACAUGAAAAGUAAGGCCUAAGAGUCCUUUGGGAAACGAUACUUGGACUUA
rnacentral:lncRNA from 1 species